UUGGAGGGCAAGUCUGGUGCCAGCAGCCGCGGUAAUUCCAGCUCCAAUAGCGUAUAUUAAAGUUGUUGCAGUUAAAAAGCUCGUAGUUGAAUUUCGGGAUUCUUCCGUUGGUCAGGCUAACAAGUCUGUACUAGCGUGUAGAAUCUCUACCUUCUGGGGAACCAUCAUGUUAUUAAUUUAGCGUGGUGGGAAACCAGGACCUUUACCUUGAAAAAAUUAGAGUGUUCAAAGCAGGCUUACGUCUGAAUACAUUAGCAUGGAAUAAUAAAAUAGGACGGUGGUCCUGUUUUGUUGGUUUCUGAAUCACCGUAAUGAUUAAUAGGGAUAGUUGGGGGCAUUAGUAUUCAAUUGUCAGAGGUGAAAUUCUUGGAUUUAUUGAAGACUAACUUCUGCGAAAGCAUUUGCCAAGGAUGUCUUCAUUAAUCAAGAACGAAAGUUAGGGGAUCGAAGACGAUCAGAUACCGUCGUAGUCUUAACCAUAAACUAUGCCGACUAGGGAUCGGACGAUGUUAAAUUUUAUUGACUCGUUCGGCGCCUUACGGGAAAC
rnacentral:rRNA from 1 species